rnacentral:rRNA from 1 species
AGUGAACGCUGGCGGUAGGCCUAACACAUGCAAGUCGUACGGCAGCACAGUAAGAGCUUGCUCUUACGGGUGGCGAGUGGCGGACGGGUGAGGAAUACAUCGGAAUCUACUUUUUCGUGGGGGAUAACGUAGGGAAACUUACGCUAAUACCGCAUACGACCUACGGGUGAAAGCAGGGGAUCUUCGGACCUUGCGCGAUUGAAUGAGCCGAUGUCGGAUUAGCUAGUUGGCGGGGUAAAGGCCCACCAAGGCGACGAUCCGUAGCUGGUCUGAGAGGAUGAUCAGCCACACUGGAACUGAGACACGGCCCAGACUCCUACGGGAGGCAGCAGUGGGGAAUAUUGGACAAUGGGCGCAAGCCUGAUCCAGCCAUACCGCGUGGGUGAAGAAGGCCUUCGGGUUGUAAAGCCCUUUUGUUGGGAAAGAAAAGCAGCAGGUUAAUACCCCGCUGUUCUGACGGUACCCAAAGAAUAAGCACCGGCUAACUUCGU